rnacentral:rRNA from 1 species
AUUGAACGCUGGCGGCAUGCCUUACACAUGCAAGUCGAACGGCAGCAUGAUCUAGCUUGCUAGAUUGAUGGCGAGUGGCGAACGGGUGAGUAAUACAUCGGAACGUGCCCUGUAGUGGGGGAUAACUAGUCGAAAGAUUAGCUAAUACCGCAUACGACCUGAGGGUGAAAGUGGGGGACCGCAAGGCCUCAUGCUAUAGGAGCGGCCGAUGUCUGAUUAGCUAGUUGGUGGGGUAAAGGCUCACCAAGGCGACGAUCAGUAGCUGGUCGGAGGGGACGAUCAGCCACCCUGGGACUGAGACACGGCCCAGACUCCUACGGGAGGCAGCAGUGGGGAAUUUUGGACAAUGGGGGCAACCCUGAUCCAGCAAUGCCGCGUGUGUGAAGAAGGCCUUCGGGUUGUAAAGCACUUUUGUCCGGAAAGAAAUCACACUUACUAAUAUUAGGUGUGGAUGACGGUACCGGAAGAAUAAGGACCGGCUAACUACGUGCCAGCCGCCGCCGUAAAAC